AGGACGAACGCUGGCGGCGUGCUUAACACAUGCAAGUCGAGCGGAAAGGCCCUUCGGGGUACUCGAGCGGCGAACGGGUGAGUAACACGUGAGUAAUCUGCCCCUAGCUCUGGGAUAGCUCCGGGAAACCGGGAUUAAUACCGGAUACGACCACCUUAGACAUCUUUUGUGGUGGAAAGAAUUUCGGCUAGGGAUGAGCUCGCGGCCUAUCAGCUUGUUGGUGGGUAACGGCCUACCAAGGCGACGACGGGUAGCCGGCCUGAGAGGGCGACCGGCCACACUGGGACUGAGACACGGCCCAGACUCCUACGGGAGGCAGCAGUGGGAAGUAUUGCGCAAUGGGCGAAAGCCUGACGCAGCGACGCCGCGUGGGGGAUGAAGGCCUUCGGGUUGUAAACCCUUUCAGCAGGGACGAAGCGAAAGUGACGGUACCUGCAGAAGAAGCGCCGGCUAACUACGCGCCAGCAGCCGC
rnacentral:rRNA from 1 species